rnacentral:tRNA from 1 species
UCCCUGAUGGUCCAGUGGUUAAGACUCGGAGCUGCCAAUGCAGGCGGCACAGGUUUGAUUCCUGAUUGGGGAA